UAUUGCACUUGUCCCGGUCUUA
rnacentral:miRNA from 1 species